GGAUUCCCUUAGUAACGGCGAGCGAACGGGGAAAAGCCCAGCGCCGAAUCCCGCGUCCUUAAGGGCGUAUGGGAAAUGUGGCGUUUGGGAGGCACUCUUCCGUUGGUGGUUUGUGGUGCAAGUCCCCCUGACUGGGGCUCUACCCCGGAGCGGGUGCAAGGCCCAUAGAUGCCACUGCCGCCGAUGGAGGUCGCCUCUCCGGAGUCGGGUUGCUUGAGAGUGCAGCCCUAAGUGGGUGGUAAACUCCACCUAAGGCUAAAUACGUCC
rnacentral:rRNA from 1 species